rnacentral:misc_RNA from 1 species
UUUCCGUAGGUGAACCUGCGGAAGGAUCAUUAUCGUACAAAAUGUGAGGGGCAUGCGAGGGCUGUCGCUGACCCAAAAGUCGUGCACGCCCGAGUGUGUCCUCUUGCAUAAUAAUCCAUCUCACCCUCUGUGCAUCACCGCGUGGGCACCCUUCGGGAUCAUCUCGGAGGGGGGCUCGCGUUUUCACACAAACUUUGUAUGCAGUGUAGAAUGUAUUUUUUGUUUUUGCGAUCACGCAAUCAAUACAACUUUCAACAACGGAUCUCUUGGCUCUC